GAUUAAGUUAUUAAGGGCGCACGGUGGAUGCCUUGGCACUAGAAGCCGAUGAAGGACGUUACUAACGACGAUAUGCUUUGGGGAGCUGUAAGUAAGCUUUGAUCCAGAGAUUUCCGAAUGGGGAAACCCAGCAUGAGUUAUGUCAUGUUAUCGAUAUGUGAAUACAUAGCAUAUCAGAAGGCACACCCGGAGAACUGAAACAUCUUAGUACCCGGAGGAAGAGAAAGAAAAUUCGAUUCCCUUAGUAGCGGCGAGCGAAACGGGAAGAGCCCAAACCAACAAGCUUGCUUGUUGGGGUUGUAGGACACUCUAUACGGAGUUACAAAGGACGACAUUAGACGAAUCAUCUGGAAAGAUGAAUCAAAGAAGGUAAUAAUCCUGUAGUCGAAAAUGUUGUCUCUCUUGAGUGGAUCCUGAGUACGACGGAGCACGUGAAAUUCCGUCGGAAUCUGGGAGGACCAUCUCCUAAGGCUAAAUACUCUCUAGUGACCGAUAGUGAACCAGUACCGUGAGGGAAAGGUGAAAAGCACCCCGGAAGGGGAGUGAAAUAGAACCUGAAACCGUGUGCUUACAAGUAGUCAGAGCCCGUUAAUGGGUGAUGGCGUGCCUUUUGUAGAAUGAACCGGCGAGUUACGAUUUGAUGCAAGGUUAAGCAGUAAAUGUGGAGCCGUAGCGAAAGCGAGUCUGAAUAGGGCGUUUAGUAUUUGGUCGUAGACCCGAAACCAGGUGAUCUACCCUUGGUCAGGUUGAAGUUCAGGUAACACUGAAUGGAGGACCGAACCGACUUACGUUGAAAAGUGAGCGGAUGAACUGAGGGUAGCGGAGAAAUUCCAAUCGAACCUGGAGAUAGCUGGUUCUCUCCGAAAUAGCUUUAGGGCUAGCCUCAAGUGAUGAUUAUUGGAGGUAGAGCACUGUUUGGACGAGGGGCCCCUCUCGGGUUACCGAAUUCAGACAAACUCCGAAUGCCAAUUAAUUUAACUUGGGAGUCAGAACAUGGGUGAUAAGGUCCGUGUUCGAAAGGGAAACAGCCCAGACCACCAGCUAAGGUCCCAAAAUAUAUGUUAAGUGGAAAAGGAUGUGGCGUUGCCCAGACAACUAGGAUGUUGGCUUAGAAGCAGCCAUCAUUUAAAGAGUGCGUAAUAGCUCACUAGUCGAGUGACACUGCGCCGAAAAUGUACCGGGGCUAAACAUAUUACCGAAGCUGUGGAUUGUCCUUUGGACAAUGGUAGGAGAGCGUUCU
rnacentral:rRNA from 1 species